GCCCAAGAGAUCGGGAUAACACCUGGAAACAGAUGCUAAUACCGGAUAACAACAGAUGAUGCCUAUCAACUGUUUAAAAGAUGGUUCUGCUAUCACUCUUGGAUGGACCUGCGGUGCAUUAGCUAGUUGGUAGGGUAACGGCCUACCAAGGCGAUGAUGCAUAGCCGAGUUGAGAGACUGAUCGGCCACAUUGUUACUGAGACACGGCCCAAACUCCUACUGGAGGCAGCAGAG
rnacentral:rRNA from 1 species